GCUGUGAUGGCAGAGCAGUUAAGUUGUUGGACUCAAAAUCCAAUGGGGAUUCCCUGCGCAGGAUCAAACCCUGCUCACAGCG